GUUUAGAUAGCUCAGCGGUAGAGCAAAGGACUGAAAAUCCUUGGGUCGGCAGUUCAAAUCUGUCUCUAAACA
rnacentral:tRNA from 1 species